rnacentral:rRNA from 1 species
AUGGCUGGCUUGGAAGGUUUUGAGUUCUUCGAGAUCAUAAUUGAGAAAUCUUGCAGUAGGCAGAGGCUGCCUGACAAGUUUGCGAAGAUGCUCGCGGGCCAUGAGCCCCACAAAGUGAAGCUGCGGGAGGCCGAUAGCGGGCUUCACAGGAUGUGGAAAGUGUUGGUGGUGUUUGAUGGUGAAGGCCACAUGUACCUAGGGCCCGGCUGGGAGCAUUUGGCCCGCGCCCAUGAGCUACAGCUCGGGUACUUCCUUGUCUUCCGCUACGACGGCGACGCCAUGUUCACCGUGAAGAUGUUCGACAACACCAUGUGCCGCAUGUACUACCAGCACGACGACGAUGCCAGCAAUGGGAGCAGCAGCGGGGAUGACGAGGAGCAGAGCGGGGAUGACGACGAGGAGCAGAGCGGGGAUGACGAGGAGCAGCCUAUUCUGGCUGACGGCGAACAUGCUAUGGUGGUGGCUGACGACGACCCUGCUAUGUUGGUGGCGGAUGACGACCUUGCUAUGGUGGUGGCGGACGACGACCUCGCGAUGGUGGUGGCGGACGACAACCUCGCGAUGGUGGUGGCGGACGACGACCUCGCGAUGGUGGCGGCCCUGCAAUCCCACAGCUUGGUGACAGGACCAUGCCAAUUGUGGUAG